AGGAGGAGGAGGAGGAGGAGGAGGAGGCCCCCAUGAAGGAUUAACAGGGAGUAGACAGAAUUUGGGACAUCUAAGGAGGAAGUACUCCAGGGCUAUGCAUUGCAGAGGAAUUGGACGGUAGACAGUAGAUAGAACCGAAUCCUUCAUAACAUCUAUAUUGGACACUCCUCUGACCUUUGGGUGUGUGUUCCCCUGGGAAGGGACCAAAGUGAUGUGACAUUAGGGUCUUAGAAGAGAGGAAUCUGUGUCUCAUUAGCUUGAUACAGGAUAAACAGCUAUGAACCUGAAAGCCCGUUUUCUUCCUCGUUUGAGACAAGUUCUCGCUAUGUAGUCCUGGCGGGCCUGAAGCUCAGUCUGUAGACCACAGAGAUCCACCUGUGUCUGCCGCCUGAGUGCUGGGAUCACAGGCCUACACCACCACACCCAACUCUGGGAGUCUUUCAAUGAAGAGAGUUCUGAAUUUAAGGGGCUGAGAAGGGGAGACUUCAGGGUUAUGGGCCGUGGGUCUCAAGGCAAGAGUGACUGUGUAUGUGACGUGCCAGGGAGAAGCAUAGGGGAUCCCAACAGGAGUCAACACCUGCACCCAGGUGGGAAUAUACUUCAGAUUUGACCCAGGCUAUGUCUUGAUGCCCAGAAGCCUUGGGGAAGUCCCCGAGUCCAGGCUAGACCUCUGGAACAUAGGAUCUGGGAAAGGUGGGAAGAACAGAGUCCUGUUCCACAAUGGAAGUUUGCACAGCACUAGAGACAACAUCUUAGGGUCCCCGUCAUCAGAGGGUCUGUCUAGGUCUUGAGAAAUGACGCUGACAACCACCAAUAUGGUAGAAAAGAUCUAAUUUAUACUCCCCCCCCCGUUCCUAUCCAGAUCCAUAGGAAAGGCCACUAGGUUUACUGGAUCAUUACUGGUGUUAUGUACAAAAGUUCCCUAUUUUACGUAUGGAUGCACCAAGAAUGGACCACAGAGGGUGGCAUGGGGCUUGCAAACCAAAGGCAUCAGAAUCUGCCUUAGCCUACAUCUGCAGCUUUCUCUUUCUAGACUUCUCUCCCCACCACUCGAAAGAGAGCAUGGAGGGGUUCAUAAUCGGGGUGUGUGGUAAGUGGGCUGAUGCCUGCCUGCAUUGCCAGCUGGAAAGUGGGAAGAGCGGAACGGAGGUGGAGAGACCUAGUUAAGCCCCCAGCAAGGGGAACAGAAGAGGACCCUGGGAUGCUAAGGGUGGCCACGGAGAAGGGGAGAAGGGUCGAGCGGCCACUGUUCUCCAACAUUGAAAUUCUUCUGUAAUAUCCAGGACAGUUACCUUCCUGUACCUCCAGGAAGAUUAUUUGUGUCCCACGGUAGUAAUUGUGGAGUUGUUACAUCAUCGGCCUCACUGAGAUUGCCAAGAUCAUGAAGGAGCUGGAAUUUGACCCUCUGUUCUCUCUUCGAUGCCUAGCCCAGCUCAUCCUGGGAGCCACUUGGGGGCUGGGUGGGUGCUGACAUUGGGAGCUGCUGUAGGCAAAAGACACUGCAGUCGCUAUGUCAGUACGGAGCAGACCCGGGAGGGAGGAGGAUGAGGCCGGCAUUGAGAUCGUCCUCAGGAAGCACUGAGGCCAGAAAGAAGUCAACAUUGAACGGGACGCCAAGGGGACUUUAGUAGAAUCACCUCUUAGGCUAAGACGGAGGCAGGCUGUCACUGGAAAUGCCCGAAUGAAGGUAUAAAUGUGGCAUCAUACGGGCUUUGGGUUUGGUUCCAUCGCGUUCUGACACAGACACGAGGAACUUGCUGAGGUUGGCCUCAACUAGACCCUGGGAGGGGCCUCAGGGGGACCCUGGCAGGCUUUGAUGGAUGGAGCAUUCAUGGUGGUACCCUAGCUUUAGACAGGUGGAGGUGGGUGGGGCUGGAACUCCCAUGACUGGCAUGUUGCUCAUCUCCUUCUGAGCUGUUGGACUCUGAGACCUGCUGGGGAGAAAGCCAAGAGAGGAAAGCUGUUUGUUGAUUUUGGAGGAGGAAGAGGUGGGGAAUGGGAUUAGCCUAGGUUUGGCAGGUAGCAAUCUCACCUUAAUCUUUAUUACCAGCCUGCACCUGCACCAGCCCCGAGCUUGGACCUCUCCUCUCCUGUUUCUAUUUGAAUAGGAGGAAGGGAGCGAUUUGGAGAAUUUGUUUCUCAGUAAAGGUGGCACCAGGAAAGACCCCGAGUGUUCAGGCAGCCUCCCAUGGUCUGUAAAGGGGGUGUGGCGGGGGAGGGCCAGAAUGGGAACUGAGCUUGAAGAGCUCGAGAGAGAUCAAGUGUAUUUGCUCUUAUUGAUUUUUCUUGAGGGCACGUGAAUGAUAGAGCAGAAACUGGUCACGUGGGAGGGCAUAGGCACGUGCACGAGGGAUUAGUGCCUGCUGUCACCUGGAGGAGACAUGUGCGAGUGGCAGUGUCUCAAGACAGGCUUCCAGGGUGAGUUAGUGGUGGGCACAGAAAAUCCCCUUUGGAUGGGCCUCAGUUACCUUCCUGCUUGAGUGAUUAAGAGCAAAGGCAAGGUAUGGAAUAGAACCCUAUCCUGGGCAAAUACCACCCCACCACCACCCUGUGAUCCUGUCAGUCUCCCCAAAAUCCUCUGUUUUGAGUCUUUGAGGAGCUGACUUCAUGGACAAACUGAGCUUUAGGGGCCCAAGGACCGAGUGCAUGUACCUCUUGGUAGUAGUGUAUGAGUUAAUGCAUAAAAGCCACAAAUGCCGGCUAUUUUAUUCAUUUGUGACUGCAGUUUAUGAAUCCGUAACUAAAAGGAGACGGAUUGCUAUUACUCUCAACUUCAAUCACUGUUUUACAAUCUCUGGUUUUCAUUGUAGCAUAGACGGUCCCGCACUCGAUGAGGCCGUUGGUAGAUGUUCUGCCCCCGGAAGUCUCUAUCCCACACCUUCCAUCAAUAUGAAGGUUAGUCAUCAAGGAGACAAUUUGCUGGUCAGUUCAAGACCGAUGUGCCUAUGUCCUGCAGCCAGAGUUGGUGGUGUCUUCAUCAACAGGGUCCUCAUAUCUAGUUUUGGGGGUGGGCAAGCAAGAGAAACGGCAAUCGCCCGUUUUGUUUUGAGGGUCUCCAGAACUGGAAGAGGGUGUCUGAGAAACCUCCCUCCCCAAUACUUCUUUACCGAGACCGAACAUGACUGCCUCUUCAUGCCCCCGCCGUCCCCCCCCCCCCGCCCUCCCGGAGCUGUGAAUAGGAAGUUUAUCCUGGAGGGCUGGUGCUCCAUUGGGCAAUUUUUGAGCAAGCAUGGGCUAUUGUUAGAUGGUCAGACUGUUCUGGGUGGUGCUGACGCCUGCACAGGGCUUUGCCUUGCUGUCAAUCAUCCCUCCUCACCUUGGACUGCCCAGUCCUCUUUUUCUUUCUUCUUACCAGCAAGUCACCGCUGUCCCCAAGAGUCCUCUGUGUGUAUGGAUGUCCUCGUGUUGUUAUCAUUUUGGUAGUAAGUUAUGACAUGUGCUUCUGACUUGCUUAGCUUUGUGUAUUAGUUUCUCUUCUGUUGCUUGAUAAGACAUCAUAGCCAAGACACAUGUAUAGAAGUUUAUUUGGGCUCACGGUUCCCAAGGAAUAAUAGUCCAUUGUGGUGGAGAAGCAUGGUAGCUAGUGGCAGGCAUGGUGACUAUAGCAGGAGGCUGAGGGCUCAGCUCUUGAACCCCCAAGUACAAAGCAGAGAGGGUUAAGUGGAAGUGGUAUGUGAUCUUUUAAUAUUAAAUCCAACGCCCAGUGACAUACUUUCCCCAGUGAGACCGUGCCACCUAAACCUCCUCAAACAGAGCCACCAAGGCUGGAGGACACCAUUACAAUGACCACGCUGAUUGGUUAAUUCAUAUCCGUGCCAGUCUUAGUUGGAUUCGUCUGGGGACAUAAUCAGUGGUUAUACAGUUCAUGCCUGCAUCUUCAUAUCUGCGUAUCUGAGGGUAUGUGUGUGUCCAUGACCAUCAGUCUUGCAUGUCAACAUCUUAUAUACACACGGGCUUUAGGAUGUGCCCAUUGCAGCAUGGCUGCCACGCGCAUGUUGUGUGCAGUGCGGUGCUUAGCUCCACAUUAACGCAUGCGUGCUUAGCUCCACAUUAACGCAUGCGUGCUUAGCUCCACAUUAACGCGUGUGUGGUAUUUUUGGGUCUAUUUUGGCAUACGUUUGCAGCCAUAUGAAGCCAUAGCGUGUGAAGGUCAGCAGUUGGCACCUGCAUAUUCUUGUCUGUGUUUCUAUUUAAACAUAAUCUUGGACCAGUUUCAUGUCUACUCUUCAGUAAAUAAAUAAUAGUCACAUUUGUUUUGAAUAUUUGCCUCCUUUGAUUUUCAAGAGUUGAAGUGCUUGCAUGGGACAGGUAUGUCCUAGAACAUUCCCAAGACUUUUUACCCACUGAAUAUAUUCCACUGAAUAUAUUCCAGUGAAUAUAUUCAGAUAUUCUCCCAAAGAUUUUUUCCUAGGAUAUGGCCCCCAACAUCUUUAGCCCAGUCAACAUGUUUAACAGUCAUUCAGCUAGUAGUCACCGAACGGUUCCCUGUUCUAAGCCGGGGCCCGCAGGGCUGAUCAACAGGCCUUGGACCUGGGUCUCACUGAGGACUUUUGACUAAUGAAUCACCAAACAGUGACAGGUUAGAAUGGAUGGUUACAGGGAGGGAAGCCACAGGGGUUCAGGCUGAAUAGAGAAAAAAUAGCUGUGGGAAGUCAGAAAUGGAAGCUGACUCAGCCUUGUGUGUGUGUGGUAGGCCACCAGAAGGAGAAGUAGGGAUGCCUCAUGGGAGAGUAGAGACAGUUAGGAGGCCGUGUUCCAGACAGAAGCAACAGCGCGCAUGUGGGACCUGCAUGCCUGGGGAAAUUAGAGACGGGAGACUGGACACCCUGGCAAGGCCUGGCCCCGGUGAGAGCCAGAUCACCUGCAGCUUUACGUAAGGCAGCGAGGAGUCUGGGAUUAGAGCCAGGGGCUAACCAGGGUAAAAAGACGGUCACAUUUGCGUUUGAGAAAGAUCCUUCUGUUUUGGGGGAUGGGACAGAAGUGGAGGCUGAGAAGUUGGGGACAGUGUGCAGUGGGCGUGGAGGCUGGCUGGAGACAUCGCAGGAGGGGCGAUUUCUGUUGCUGCUUUACGUGCUGGCUCUGCGGAUUCUUCUCUGCGGGUGACAGAUGGAAAUGUGCCAUUUCUGACUUGAAGGCCCAGAUCAAUAUCAGAUUGGAGAUGGGACAUCAUGGGACAUCCUGACAAACCAAGCCAAGUCACUGCCAGGGAUCUCAAAGCAGAGCGAACACAGAGAAAGGAGCCUUAGAUGGUAUUAUUAUUCUUGUUACUUGUAAUAACGGACCACGUAGGCGUGGGACGUUCCUAGAAAAGCCCUGUGUGAAACGCUUCUCGCAGAGUGGGCUUUCCGGGGAGAAGUGGAGUCACUCACACGCAAGCCAGGUCUCAGACGUGACACGAGUGGGACAGAUCGGAUGUUUGACUGUUGCCCUCCCUCACCCUAACCCCUACUCAGUCUUUAGUCUCAUCUGUUUACCGCCUGUCUUCUCCUCUUGCUCUGACCCGAUAGCUUUCAGGACAAAAAUGGCUCCUCCCCAAUGUACCUGGAAUGUUCAACCCUGUCCGGAAUGAGCCCUUCCUCAGUUGUUGCUGUGGUGUGUGUGUGGACGUGUGCAUGUGUGCACACGCUAAGGACAGUGUGUCUUCUUUAGUUGCUCUGCACAUUAAGUCCUAACACAUUUUUUUCUGAGCCUAGAGCUAGCCUUUGCGGGUAACAGUCUGGCUAGCCUGUGUGGCCAGUGAGGCUCAGGGAUCCUCCUGGAUCCGGCUCUCGCAACGCCAGCGCUGUGGGGUGAACAGAACAAAAUGGAUUACAGGCGUGUGCCACCACACCUGGCUUUUGACGUGGGGGGCAGGGAUCCCAUGCUUACACAACGUGCCCUUUACCUGGGGGGGCAUCUCCUCAGCUCCUCUCCUCCUUUUAUUUUAAAUUGAGAUGAAAUAACAUAGGAACUAAAUGUUCGCAGAGAAAAGUUCAGUGGCAUUUAGUACAUUCAUGGUGUUAUGCAACCACCAUCCCUAUUCAAAUAUCAAAACGUUUCCCAAUGAAAAUCCUAAGUAAACCAAAGGUAGGGGCAACCUACUUUGGGGUCUACACUAAUGAGAGUUUGCCUGGGAAUGGCCUGUGUGUCUGUAGGUUCCAUGCCUGUUGUAGCCAUGUCUGCUGUAUGAGGUUUGGUGGUGUUGUUCAUUUUUUUUUUUUAUGAAACACCAGAAAAGUGUCCCUUUAACACCUACGACUCUGAAACCCACAUCCCAUUAUCACACGCCCCAUUCAAAACAACUCCAGAGCCAGACAAGCACAAGUAUAUCUCAAUAAGAGAGAUAUUUGACCUUUUGUCUCCUUUGCAUUCUUUGUUCCUUAACCAGUCCUGACCUGGUCAACCAGGGUAUACCGGGCCCCACACCCCUGGCCACAGGUAGUGAGGUAGCGAGUGAGCCUGGAGAACAAAAGUCUGUGGUCAGGGAAGGGAAGUGUUUGCAUUUCAGAUUUCAUGGUUAUGACAAGGACUAGGGAAGAGUCUGGGGAGUGUUGGCUGAAACCAUGUGACGGAGAAAGUGUUGGCUGAAACCACGUGACAGAGAAAAGCAGAGGACUGAAGAAAGUCAUCCAGCUCCUUUCUGUCUGACCGUUCACUCUCGGCCAGGCACGCCUUCCCACCGGGAAAACGCAGGGCGUGGGGGGUGUGCAUGCUGAGAGGAGGUUUGAUGGACACACGGGAUGGAAACGGCCCGGAAGAAUGGAGUUGUGUUUAUUUAAUAACUCCAGUUAAAAAUAUAUAGUUCACACAUAUACAUACAUGUACGUGGAGAUAGCAAGCUCAACACCGUGUCUAGCACUUCCAACCAGUGGGCCAGUGGUGGUUGCCUUUCAGGAAUUUGUUUCUUUCAUUUCCCUGCUUUCCUGUAGGGAACCUGUAGCAUACUGGGGGAAAUGUUACUUUAAAAAAGCACAGGAAAUUAUUAUUUAAAAAAACCCAACUCAUUGCUGUCAAAGAAAACCACGUCCGAAGUGUUUACAUUUUCACCUCCACUGUCAAAAAGGAGGAGGCUAUUGUUUCUUAUCUGGCUCUGGGAGUUCUGAAUCCUGUUCGUUUCUUUCAUUCUUCAUUCGUUUCCUUGGUGUUCAGCUUGCUGUUUAACCUGAACAACUUUCAUCUGGGGACUGCGUAGCUGGUUUUCUGCACGUGAUUCUCAUCACCUGGGGGGUGGGUGUUCAUCAUCUCCCGCAGCCUUAGUUUCUGCUCCAAUUCUUAGGAGACCCUCAGUGUCAGCUCCUCUGCCCACUCCCACUGUUUCUUUUAUUUUCAAGAUUAUAGCAGAAUGACGUCACUUUCUCCCAUUCUCCUUCCUCCAUCCAAAUACACCCAUAGGCCCCCUUGUUCCCUUACAAUCCAUACCCUCUUUUAUCAUUAAUCAUUGUCACAUGCAUUUAUGUAUGUGCAUAUAGAUGUGUGUGUGUGUAUAGAUACAUAUAUCUAUAUAGCUAUAUCAUACAUAUACAUAUGUCACUGCUUGGGGAUUUCAUCUUCUUUGUCAUUGUGAUCAGCAUCUUCUCUGGGAGCUGAGACUGUAGCUCUUGGUCUCUCGGAGGGAACCUCCCAGUAGUCCACCCACUCCUUGAAGUAGGACUGGAAGGUGCUCAUGGGGACUCCUGAUGUCUUGUAUUUUUAAAAUGACAUUUGUCACGUUUUUUACGUUAAGAUUCAAAACCAAUAUGAUUAGCAUAGAACAUAAAGGGUCCUCUUGCAGAACAUUCAUACACACUUCGUUCUGGUUGCUCCUGUGUCUCCCCUUCCCUCCUCCUCACCCACUCCCCUGGUCUUCCUCCUAAGAGCCCUACGUCUGUGUUCAUGUUACAUGGAUUCUGCUGUCUCUCCUACUUACGAUCUCUUAUUAAUUGACAAAUGGCAACUGGAUAUAUUGAAGGAGUACAGCACAAUGUUUUGAUAUGUUAUAUUUUGGAGAAUGGCUAAAUCAGGGUAAUUAGAAUACAUGUUGUGUCACAAAGGAUCUUGUGUGAGAACACUCAGAAUCUAAGCAGUAUUCUAGAACACGAUACCUUGUUUUUAACCAUGGCCUCUGUGUUAGACAAUAGAUCUGUUUAUGUCUCCUAGUACCUGAUAUUCUGAUCCUUUGAGCAACACCUCUCCUCUCCCAGCCUCCAGCCACUGCUAGCCUAUUUUCUUCUCCUACAGUUCAGCUUUCUAAGUCUCCCCGUGUAGGGGAGAUCAUGUGUUUGUCUUUCAAAAAAUAAGUUUUUUUAAUGAGGAUGAAGAUAUUGCAAAUACUCUGAGGGGAUUUUCAUUUCUGACAGAGGUUGAGGAGAAGGAGUGAACAAUAUUGAGUCGAGUCAACAAUAACUAUACACUAUGAAAAGAUAUUUUAAAAUCUCCACCCAUUGGUAGAAAUUUUUAGAAGGCAGAGAAAAGCAGACAUUGGAAGAGUUGGAUGAAGAAUUGGUCUUAGUUGGUUUUGUUCUGAGGGCAGGCCAUGAACAGCACCUGUGGGAUGCCAGAAACCCAGCUAGAAACCUCAUCUUUUCUAGGAUUUCUGGAUACAGACAACAGGGCUCAUUGUGAUUGACUGCAGUGCCGUUGGUAGUGAUGGUUGAAACUUUAAAGAGUCAGAGAAAAUGAGACAAGAUAAGACCAAGUCCUAUGUAUAAAUCUUGCCCAAAUUUCGGACUGAUUAUGUAGGUACUUAUGAGCUGAACCACAGCUAAGUCUAGAAGCACUGAGGCAGGGUCUCAGUACGGAGUGUUUAGUUCUAGCUGUGUCAGCCACUCUCUAAACAAAAACAGAGCAACGAUAUUCUUCAGCAGAACAUAACAGAAUCCAGAGUCUUUACAAGGUCUCAUUUCCAGUACACAGGGUAAAAAUCCAAACACAGCAGGUGAAUGAAGGUAUGGGGAAAUAUGAAUUACCCUCAAAAGUAAAGGCAGCUGAUAGAAAUCAACCCUGUGGAGACUUUAAUGUUGGGAUUUAGCUGUCAGAAGGUAGAAACUUAUUAUUAAAGCAGAUAGUUUUACGGAUUACCCUAUUAUGAUUCAUAUACCAUGUAUAAUGAUGAACCACAUUCGUUAGUGUCUAAGGUGAUAAGCAUGACACCUCCUAAUUUUAUUUUAUGCGUACGUAUGAGUGUUUGGUCUGCCUGUAUGACUGUGUACUAUGUGAAUGACUGGGUGCCCUUGGAGGUCAGAGGAGGGGAUAAGAUGCCUGGAAAUGGAGUUACAGAUGGUUGUGAGCCACCAUGUAUGUGCUGACAAUGGAAUCCGGCUCCCCUGGAGGAGCAAUCAACACUCUUAACCACUGAACCAUCUCUCUGGCCUCUGACUGUUGAUACCUUUUUGAAGUGUGAAAAUAUCCAGGUUUUAAAAGUGAAGAAACUGAGGCCAUCAACUUGGAAAACUACGCUGUCAAGAUUAGAGCCUGGGUCUCUGUUUGCAACGCUAGGUUCCUCAAUCACCACAUCCAGCAUCAAGGGGGAGCUGUUAAAGGAACAAGAAGUUCGAGGAAAAUCAGGUCACACAAUGCUCAGUGGGAAAAGACAGAUAAACUCCAUUUUAAUCAGUGAAUACACUGCACACCCACUUUUGAGGACAGGGUGGCUUCAGGCCUCAGGGAGUUUGACUCUACUUCUGGUCUCAAUGGCUUUUCACCUGAUUUGAGAUGUCAACAAUUAAUUCUUAACUAGUAGCUUCACCAAGUCAGUGCUAAGCCAUAGUCUCAACUCUGAGCUAGCCUUGUUCAAAGAGAGCAGGGUGGUCUUAAGUCUUGGGGACACGCCCACAAUGUAACUGGCACUUCCCCGUGAUUCACGGGUUAGGAAGGAGUUCUGUCCCUCUCUAUCUUUACGUCUUUUCUUCUGCUAGGUCCAAGGACAUGAAGAGGCACAUGCGAAUGUCAGAGAGAGAAAUAAAUGUUCGAGUUGCAGAGAAGACAUCCAUGCUUUAUUUAAGAAGUUGGGAAAAAGCUUUAAGUGGGAAGACCUAUUUCAUCUGGAUCUUUGAUGUGGGAAGAUAAACCUUCAAUUCAGGUCUUCUGAGGUGGCAAGACCCACCUUUAAUCUGCUAGCAGCCCAUCUAAAGGGACAUGGAAGAAGGAAGUUUGCUUGCUCUGUUUGCCUGUUUGCUCUGGUCCUCACUGGCAAGUCCAUUCUUUACUGGCAUUAGAUCCCACAUCUUCAGGAUCCUUGCAGAUACUGAAGACCAGAUGAGACAUCCAGCCUCAUGAACUGAACAACUACUGGAUUCUUGGACAUUCCGUUGGUAGACAAACAUUGUUGACUAGCUGAACCACAUCCUUUGCAAGAUGGGUUUUCAAGGCUUCAGAGGACAGAAAGAAUGACAUAAAGGAAAAGUACCUCGUACAUCUUGAUGAGAAAGCAGUCGAUGAAGUCCCUAGGGUUUGAAGGAUCAAAGGAUGCUUCAUUGAUCUUGACCCUGGAGGCAAUGAAGUCCUUAAGGUCUUCUAUCAAGUUAUAGAGGUGGUUGUGACUUCCUGGAAAAUACUGCAUGACUCCCCAGAACAUGUCGUAUAACUGUGGGGCAGAGGCAAAGGGGUAUGUGUCGGUCAUGGGUGUCAGGGACCAGACAGACCGAGUUCUAAAGUCAGAGAGUUGGGCUCUUGUGGCUGGAGCUAGGGCAGAGCAGAGCUCACUCUCAAGCCCAUCACCAGGGAGACUGAAGAGGAAGAUCAGCAGUUCAAGGCCAGCCCAAGCUACACAGAGACACCCUAUUUUACUGAAUAGUCUACUGUUGGGUCUGAGGUUUGGGUGUCACCCUUUGUUUCCUGAACACUUGGACGAAAGCGCCUCCGAGGGAUGCAGAACAGAGGCUUGGUUGGCACACAGGAAAGACGUGCUUGAGACUGAAGGGUGAGCGCACAGCUGACUGGCGGCCACUACGUACCUGUGCCCAGGGCUUGCUCAUCUCCACAAACGUUUCAUUGAUCAUCUUCAUUAGGUUCUGAAAACAUUUGUCCUCAUAGUUGAAGCGUUUUCCAAAGACAAUGGAACAGAUGACGUUGGACACCGUGCGGCUCAGAAUAAGAAGGAGGAGGAGGAGGGUGAGGAGGACGAGGACAAGGAGGAGGAGGAAGAGGAGGAGGAAGAGGAGGAGGAAGAGGAGAAGGAGAAGAAGAAAAGAGAAAAGAAAAAAAAUCACUCAGUGUUGACACAGAACCCCAGGUCUACUGUUUAGUGGUAUGCAUGAGUGCCUGUUUUAAUAUCUGAGUCUAGUUUUCCCAAACUACAACCUGGUUUGGAAAUCUCCUGAUUGAUCUGUGAGUGUUCAAUAUGAUGAUGUUUGUAGCAUGGCUCCUGGCCUGGAAUAAACACCCAAGAAAUGUUA